UUAUUUUUUUCCAGGAUUUGUUGGACAAAAAGCCAAAUCAUGUCAUUCAUUUGUUGUUGUUAUUGUUGAUGAACGUCAUGUGUCUAAUUUAUUAAUUUUCACGUAUGUACAUAUUAAUUAUUUUUUCAUAUUUAUUUAAAUUAUAAUCCUAACUUUUUGAAUUAAAUAAUUAUCAUUAAUUUCUUGUGAUUUUACGUUGAAGUAUUUACAGUUUGUAUAAGCACUUUUGUUUGUGUUUGUACCAGGUGAUAAAAUACAUGUCCGCAACAUUAUCCUUGUUUUAUUCAUUUAUAUUUUUGUUUGUCUAAAAACAAUCAACAGCUUGAGUAAAAUAUUUAUUUAUGUGUUUUAGUAUUUUGCUGAAUACAAUGCCUAAUGAUGACAUUCAUUUGCUGUUCAAAGCCUGGUCUUAUUCAUUCUAAUUUCACAAUUUUGCUGAUGAUAAAAUGACAAAUGAUCAUGGCAUUUAUUUGCUGUUCAAAGCCUGGUCCUAUUUAUUUUAUUUUCACAUGUCGAAUAAUUUAUUUGCUGCAACAAAUAAAUCAAAGUAACCAGGUGCCUGGACUUAUUAACAAGUAAAGAGUUCGUCGAGAUAGAACGUUGAACGAUGUCGCUUGCUUGUUGGUAUACCGAGAUGUAGCUGUCUUUUGUUUCUUCUCUCUCCUUUUUCACAUCAUGUAUGUACUAUUUGUUUUUCUACUUUUUUUAAAAUCAUAUUCCUUCUUUUUUGCAUG